CCCACACUGAGCUGGCAGAAUGAAAAAGUGUGUGUCAGUGUUGGGUGGAUUUUAGCUUGGAGUCUGUUUUAUUUUCUUUGCUGCCGAGACAGUCUUCCAUGACUUCCUUGGACUAUUGGAUAAGGGUUGUAGAAAAAUUAGAAUGUCUUGAAUGGAAAGCAGCUUCUGGAGUUAAGAGGUCCCCAUUUCGUUUGCUGGAAACACAGCUAUUGCCUCCUCACAGGCCUGCCAUUUCUACUCUUACCAGCUCCAACCCAUUCUCCAAAGCGCUUGAGAAGGAAGAAAACACAAGUCAGACUGUGUCUCCUCUCUACUAAAGACCUUUCACCACAUUGGACCUCUCUCAGCUUCUGAGGUACAUCGGCGGAGCCUAGCCUAAAUCAGCCGCAGUCAACCUGACCUGUAAACACACGAGAGAUAAUAAACGAUUGUCAUUUUAAGAUAAUAAAUAAUGAGGGACUUCCCUGGCAGUCCAGUGGUUAAGACUUUAGUUUCCAGUGGAGAGGGUGUGGGUUGUAUCCCUGGUUGGGGAGCUAAGGUCAUGCAUGCCUCAUGGCCAAAGAAAACAUAAAACAGAAGAAAUAUUGUAAAAGAUUCAAUAAAGACUUUAAAAAUGGUCCACAUUAAAAAAAAAACUUAAAAAAAAG
ensembl:lncRNA